rnacentral:rRNA from 1 species
CUACAGAGGGUGCAAACGUUGUUCGGAAUUACUGGGCAUAAAGCGCGCGUAGGCGGUCAGGUAAGUGUGAAGUGAAAUCCCACGGCUCACCCGUGGAACUGCUUUGCAUACUGCUUGACUAGAGGAAGGUAGGGGAGAGCAGAACUCUUGGAGGAGCGGUGAAAUGCGUAGAUAUCAAGAGGAAUACCAGUGGCGAAGGCGGCUCUCUGGUCCUUUACUGACGCUGAGGUGCGAAAGCUAGGGUAGCGAACGGGAUUAGAAACCCUAGUAGUCC